AAGAGACAUUCCCUCCAGGACAGCAAAUCUCACUGACGUCUGUGUUUAGCACAAGGCAAUGAGACUGUAAAUUUGAUCCCCAGCCUCUCUUGCUCUCUGCUGCUCUCUGAGGUAGAGGUCUUUUCUCAUGAACCUCAGCAACAGCAGCUUUAACGCUGCACACCUAAGCCACCAUGAGCAAGAUGGAGUCUUUCCCCAGUUCUAAGAAAUGGAAAGAAAGGUUACCUGAAAAGGCCUUUUUCCCAAGCAAGAACUGAAAACAGGUGCAAGCUGGAAGCACAGGGGCUCCCUAAAGUUAGACUGGAAGUAAAUAUCCUUUUGACAUCUCAGGGCUUCUGCUGCUGGUUUCACACGAACCCACAGGAUGGCAGUGUUUGCAGUGCUGCCUAGCUGGACGAGGUCUCCUCAGUGCAUGCAGGCAGGUUUGGCGUGGAGAUUACUGAUGAAGAGUUUGAGCUGCUACUUGACAGAAUCCCCCUUGAUGAAGAUGGAAGUGUCACAUACCCCCAGUUCAUGGCCAGGUUUGAUUCCUGAUUGCUUCAGCUGUCAUGUCCAAGUAAAUUCUGAAGUCAAGAGAAGCCAACGUCCCUAAAAGAAGCAACAUUCAUCUUAUAACGCAUUUUCACCACAAAGGAGCUGCAUUAGCACAAGGUGUUCCGCUGGCUGUCACUUGCCUUGGAGCGCAUCUGCAAGAACACACACAGCUAUUUAUAGCCCUUCAAGAGGCCUAUGACUGAACCCACGUUUCAAUAAUGAGCUUUUUAAAGGCUGCCUGUUUUUUGAUGUUCCAUUGGUAGCUACAGCCUAUGCCAGGUUUCAGAGACUGUGACCAAAGGCAGAGUGACAAAGAUGAAGGAUGAAUGUCAACCUUAAGUGUUGUAUUUGAGGAGCUAAGGUGAGAGAGGGCCGUGUGGAAUUGUCCUAAUCCGAGAAGAGCCACUGCCUCCCUGUGUGAUCUGACAGACUGACAUAUCACUUGACCUCGGUCACGGCAGCUGUACAACGAGGUGGAAAAGGCGGCUGAUGGACAACCAGGGGAUGCCUUUCAGCACAGCUUCCUCGGGCAAACUGAACUGUUAUCCUGCAGGACCACUAGGAAAUCUCUGGAGACAAAGACUGAGUGCCAGACAUCUUUCUGAUUCACACUUUCAUUCCCUGAUGACACCCAAGCAGAGCUGGGCUGCUGGGCAAUGGAAGCUCUCCCUGCACUAUUUUAUCCAUUAGCUCAGAUACAGUUGAGAAGAAUUUAUACUAUGUGAAAGAACACAUACAAGUUGUGAGCAACCACGUGGUCUGAAUGUUAAGGAUUCAUCCUUCCUCCUACACAAGGUAUUUAAGGUCAUGUUUUAGUAUUUGAAAAACAACUUGUGGUCCUGAACUGUUACAUUUUUUUAGGACUAAACGUGAACAGGGCUUCAGUGAAUAGAUACACUGCUAGUUGAAGAUGCUGUAGCAGCUCUGACUCCAAAUUUUGAAGUUGGGGACUAAAUCAGUGUUUCACUGAGCAGCACUUGCACAUUUUGAGUGGUAAGGAAAAUACAAAGUAUAUCUGAAAAUGCAUGAUAACAGAGAAUCGUUGCAGCUGGAAGGAACAUCUGGGGAUCAUCAAGUCCAACUCUCCUGCUAAAGCUGGUUCCCUACAGUAGGCUGCAACUGUCAUCAUGGAACAAACCCAAAAGGGCAGAUCUGCACUGUGCUUAGUGCUGUGAUGUCUGCCUUGCUGAGUGAUCAGCCAAGCCAAACUUCCUCUUCUUAAGGGUCUUUGGGUCAGUUAUUGAUAUAUUCACUAGUGCAAAUUGUCUGGCUUUGACAGGAAUUUUUAAAUAAUGUCUGUCUUCACAAUGUUUUGCUUUUGCAUGUCUCUCUUUACAGUCUUCUGCAUUUUGUCCAUUUGCCCUUAGCCUUCAGCUGAUGACUGUUAGAACAAGAGUCACCAUCCAUUCAAAUGCACUUCAUCUGUUAUUCUUGUUUAAAAGCAUCUUGUGCUUUAGUGAAGUCUCUAGAUCUGCUAGGAAAGGUCUUUUAUCAAAAAGGAAAAAAUUUGACACUUAAGAGAGCAUAAUUUUCUUUGUUGACUCAUUUUAUCACUUUGUCUACCUUUUAAUCAUUGAGGAGCUGUAAAAAUCCAGGUACCCAGCUGAACAUAAAAACACCACACCAGUUUUGCAUUGGCUUCACUCCUAUCCAUAUACAGAAUGCCUUUACGUGGAAAAGGCAAACAUCCCAGAAGUCUGUAAGAAGUAGGCUGUAGAUGUUACAGCUUGAAUUCAUGGGAGGGCUUCCCUGGAGCCUGAACCACAUCCCUCCAGCUGAAAGGAGAGCCCAGCCUUCCCUUUCUUAAAGGUUGAUACAAUAUCUAGCUAUGCUCCUUUACCUUCUGUGUUUUAAAAAUGCCCAGAACUUCUCAGCAAUCCUGGCAGACUGGCUCUGUACAUCCAAAUCAUAAACUAAUGAUAGAAUUAAAGAAAACAAUGUUAAGCCAUGAUACAUCUUAAAAAAACCCCAAAGCAAAACGUGCUUGAGUGUCUGACCUGCAUGUAUGAAAGUAGAGGCAGAAACAACGCAUGAACUCAUGCUUUGUCCCUUGGCAAGGAUGAGACUGUAGCAUAGUCUUUUGAACUUAGUGAGUGUUGAGCUCAGUGUCCUGCAGAGUGGUCCAUGUGGUUUCUGAAUUCAAAAUGAGUGGGAUUUUUGUUUGUUUGUUUGUAACAAGAGAGCACUGAAAUAAACCCACAGUGUUAGAGAAGUAUGAUUUUAAUAAUGUUCAGCAGCAUGAGAUCUCUACUUUCCACUCAGUUCUGUUCUCCAUUGAAAAACUUUUCCACAGGAGGAGCUCUGAGAAACCUUUGGUAAUUUUAUAUCCUGUAUUGACUUGACAAUAAGGGCAUUUGCUCACAAGAUUCCCUUCAAGGCUAAGUGUUGAAUUCCUGGCAUUCCCAGAAGAUUUAUGUUGAAUUGUAUGAAUUUAGCUCUUUGCCUAUGUAACUAUGGAAAGCUCUGGAUGUGCCAGUGUCUCCCUGCUCUAGUUUGUCCAUAUUCCAUUGCUUAGAUUUGCCCAUCUAGUGUCUUUGUAAUCUGCUGCACUACAGCUUCAUGAAUCAGUCUGGGCCAUAGGUGCCAGAAAUAGUUGAUGAGUAACUGCUAUGCAGUCAGGGGGCAAUUGCAUAUUAGAGAGUAGAGCAAAGGGGAAUCUCUCCUGGGCAUCCUUUGGCCACGAGAGCUGAUGAGUGCUUAAACUAGGACAGUUUAAGCCAGAGUCAAUGCAGGUGAAUUGGAUGGUCUUCGGAACUUGAAAUUCAGUACUAUAUUGUGCCCUUAUUACUACUAGUAAGUAUUUCUCUUGUGAGCUGGGGCUCUCUGUGUAUGAAUAAUGAGCAGGAAGAUGGCUGGGUUGUGCAGCUUGUGCCUGAGAUGGCUGAGCUAUCAGUGCUAUGUGACUCUGGAAAAGGCAGGUGCAGCUUUUGGCUCAUGCCAUUUCCAAAGGCACUGAGGAGAAGCAAUGUGAAAUACUGUGUGCAAGUAUGAGCAUAGAAUUCCUGACAAAGUCCCCCAGUACCUCUUACAGUGAUAUGAAAGUAGUUCUCACUAAAGAUAACUCAGCUGCUAUGAGUAAGGACUAGAUAUGCCUUUUGCAAAAAUGGGCUGAAACUGGAGAAACUGCCAAGAUUUUAUGCCCACGUGACCAACAGAGAAAAAUAUAGGGAGGGAUUAGAAUGCUUAGUUUCUUUAAAUUGGCAAAAUUGGUAAUGGGAGAGGUUAUGGUGUUUGUCUGUACAUGCAAAAGCUUUUAAAAACUGGGGGUUAUAAGACUUUGUCUUAGCAGAUUGGCAGACUAGAUUUUUAAUAGAGCAGAAGGGAUCAUCUGAUCUAUAUAAAAUCAAAUGAAACAGUUCCAUCUGACUCAACUUGAGCAGGUAUGUUUGUAUUCUCUUUUCAGCAAGGCAUCCUGGCAGCCUGCGUAUUAAGACCAGAGCUCAGGAAGCUCCUGAUUGCAGCGUGUCCCAGCAGGCUGCAGAAGCUAAGUGAGAGCUUGUUUGUGAUGUGCUGGUGUUUAUAUCAAGCAAAUUCAUUCUUGCUCACUAGCAUUCAAGGGAGAAAGGAAAGCUGUCUGUAGGGUGACUUUCUGCAUAACCUGUGUUUUUGCCUCGGUCUGAGAAAUUCUUUCCCUGACCUUUUAAUUGGAGGCAAUGUUUUAGAUUUAGUGUUAUUAAAGAUGUUUGCUCUUUAGAAUAUCUUUAGUUUUCUUGUUAGUACCCCUUACUCCCCAGUGGCAUAAAGAGUACUGUGUUUUGAGAAGAGGACCCAAGAAUGGCCCACACGAGAAAUAAAAGCAAAGCUGAAGUAUGUGAGAUCACAUUCUACACGAACCUGCCUGUCUUGUUUUAAGAUGUGUAGAUUUGUCCAUCUUGUUGAGCAGUUGUGUUAUUCCCAGUGUAGCUCCUGAUGAUUGUCCUGAGGAGAGAGAAUUCGUCGUGAUCUGUCCUGCCAAAAAGCCUGCAACUCAUUUCUGGAUUUAGAGAGAAAUCUUCCUUGCCAGUUGGUGUCAACCUUCAAGUAUGUCUCUGCAGAAGGACAUAAAACCCAGCAGGACUCCCUUAUCACAUGGCAUUAACUGAGGUGGUGCUGUCAUUUUCGAUACAUUUGACUUCUUGCCUCCAACCCCCAUGCUGAGAUCUCAUGUUCCUUUUUUCCCCAGGGUCAUGUCUUACACAGAGUCCCCACUGUGGCUUUGCUCUGCUGGGUCAAGGGAAACAUGAGAUGACAAUUUUUGCCCUUUCCUCUUAAUGGUUAAAAUUAUAGAAGGGGUAAGGAGAGGUUUGUAUGGAUUUCAUCUUUGAGAUUGAUUUUAUAAUGACAGGGGGAACAGGGAAAGACGGACCCACUCCAAGGCUUUUGGCUUCCCACACCUUUCAGAAAGGGACAGCAGGAUGACAUCUCAUGUGCUCUGUAUCUGUCCCAGAUUGUGGCUGUUUUCUUGUGAAGAGCAAAUGCGCGAUUCAAAGAGUGCCUGGCAAAAGCUGCUUCUAGUUCUGCAGCAGCAGCACGGGAAAUAUUUCAUGUGUGUAGAAGAUGGAGCAUCCCUGUAGACAGUUGUUUUCUGCAACCUUUUGUAAGUUUGGGGAAAAGUUAUUAAGUACUGUUUCUAUUUCUUUCUUUAAAAAAGAACAGAGAAAAACCCUGCAUUUCCUGCCAUUUCCCAAGAGGCUUUUUAUCUGUUUAAACCAACUAGGGAUUUUUCACAUAUUGACAUAAGCAUUCAUUUGCUAAUUUGCUGGACAUUAAACUGCACAGCAUUCUUGAAUGAGGCUGGAAUACUUGGGUACUUAGUGCUGCUCAGACCCCGCAUCAUUCCCAGUACACAUAUGGUUUUCCUCCUCUAUCUCCUAGAUAAAAGUCACUGUUUGAUCGCCUUAAGGGAAAGAAUGAGUUAAAUGGACCAAUAUUUUAGCCUUGGCUCUAAAACUGGGCCUUUUCAGAAACUCCUCAGCACCUGCAGCAGCUAGGUCAUUUGCACAUACAUAAAUAAAUAAAUUAACAAUGAAUAAAUAAUUUAAUCCCACCAUACAAUGCCACCUUGCAGAUCUGAUCCUUUGCUCCCAGUGAAUUUGUCCAUUCCUAAUUCUUUUUGAUAAAGUCCUCAGAUACUUGCUGACUGUCAGUCUAAUUUUCUUAUUGUUUUCGCUUGAUUAGCUCUGUAUGACCUAAGGUCGCCCUUAAAAUCCACAUCUCUCGUGAAGACUCCGAAAGGCCUUCUUUUUUUUUCAAAGGGAUGGAAAGUGCCUGCCAUUUCUCCGGACAAAAGCCUGGAAGGUUUUCAGUUAUUAGCCUCCUGAAGCAGCCCUUUCGCUCACCCAAGCGCAAAAAAAACUCAUUAGGGGGCACCUUUCUUUCUGCCUUCUUCAUCUGAUGCGUGUUGGCUUUACGUGUUUCAAGAUUUCCAGGUCUCGGAUGGAUUUGGCCAGCCUCCCUUUUAACCCUGCCGGACUGUGGUUGUGCCCUGGACAGAGAUUGGUUGAACCACCUGGAGAUGCUCCGUCCUUUCAGCAGCUGUUUUACACCCUCUGGUCUGCUGUUCUGUUGAGCACUUCUGCCCGGCACACAGCACUGCCAUACCUGUGCCUGCCUUUUAAGAAGAAAAGCAUCCCAAAAGUAAACUGGCAGAAAGGGGCUGCCUGGUCUCUGAUGAAGGAUCUCUACUUUGCCUGGGAUCUGAGCCUAAAGAGGAGAAAUACACAGGAGCAGAAGAAAGAUGAACAGGGCAUAAAGAGAGCAGUGCCAGUGGAAUUUUUGUGGACAAAUACUUUGUGUCUUGCUCCUGCAACGCUAUUUCUCCUUGUCCUGUCCUGACAAGCAGCUGCUCUUCCAGUCCCCUGGGUUAAAACCUGUUUUGGAAAACUCAGGACUGUAGCUAAGGUCUCAGUUCCAAGCAUGUGGAACGACAAUUUAAUAGCCACUAGUCUUGCUACUGGCUGUUUUCAAGGCCAAGAGAAAUUCUCUUUCUUAGUUUGGAAUAACAUACUGUUGCAACCACUAUUUUUUUUUGCCAGUUCCUCUGAAAUCCCCAUGAUACUGACAAUGAUACUGACAAUUUACUUCCACCUCUUUUUUACCAGUUCCUCUGAACUGGAGAUCAGCCCUCCAUAAAAUCAAGCCAGCCAAGUGCAUAAGGCUGGAUCUGUGCGCAAGUCCUUGCAGGUUCCAUACCACCAACUCCAUUACUCUUUCUACUGGCAUAAAUUCUGACCAGCUGUCAGCUUGAAUUUAGGGUAAAAUAGUGUGGAAGCUAUGUGACAAGGAGAAAUUGUGUCAGCAUGAUACCAGGCAGUCUUGUUUAUAACUUUUUGCAUCAGUGUCCCUUCCACCCAAACCAUUUAGGGGUAUUCGAGCUUUCUGAAUAAACUUGACACAUCAGUUAAGAAGAAGCUUGAAGCUUUAGAUGAAAUUAACUUCUAGUGUCUCAUUCAGAACACUGUGUACAUUCUGUUGAAGAAAUCCUGAUAAAAAUAAGCUAAAACAUUCCGGAUGAUGCUUUGCUUGGAGCUCUACUCAAUGUCCCACACAGAGAGAAGAGGAUUGGCUUCCACUGAAACCAAUGGCAAAUUUCUCCUCUACUAUGUGCGUACUUUAAAUUCAGGAUUUUCUGAUUUUGUGUGCAGGUUGUUCAUACAUGGAGUUCCUGAAGCCUUUUGCUUCUUUUUGGCCAUGUAUAAGAACACCUCUUCUAGCAAUACAUGCGACAAGUACAAUGGAAACAUCUGUCACAGGUUAUGGUGACUGGAAGACUCUCUGAAGAGCCUUUAAGAAGCCACAUGUUGGCAGCUGAACUUCAAUCCAUCCCAAAUCUUCACAGCUUCCUGCUAGAAGAGGAUGAAAUUGACCACAUGCCCUCAAAAUUCAUCUCAAUCUGA